AUUGAACGCUAGCGGCAGGCUUAACACAUGCAAGUCGAACGAGUGGCGGACGGGUGAGAAAUAUAGGGGAAUGUGCCCUAUAGAGGGGGAUAACUACGGGAAAGAGGAGCUAAUACCGCAUACUAUGGGAACGGCCGAUAUGGGAUUAGCUAGUUGGUGGGGUAAAGGCUCACCAAGGCGACGAUCCCUAGCUGGUCUGAGAGGACGAACAGCCACACUGGGACUGAGACACGGCCCAGACUCCUACGGGAGGCAGCAGUGGGGAAUAUUGCACAAUGGGCGCAACCCUGAUCCAGCCAUGCCGCGUGUAUGAAGAAGGCCUUCGGGUUGUAAAGUACUUUUGGUAGAGAGGCGUUACCUACAGAAUAAGCACCGGCUAACUCCGUGCCAGCAGCCGCGGUAAUUC
rnacentral:rRNA from 1 species